rnacentral:rRNA from 1 species
AUGCGGUCACUGCUCAAGGCUGCUGCUGACGUUGCGGUCGCUGCUUAUGAGCAGCAGGCCUCAGACUACCAGGUGGCUCUUGAGAUGUAUCAUGAUGAACUAUCUGCCUACACUCAGCGGUUUGAUGAUGAUGCUCGUGCUGCAGCUGUUCUCAGUUCCAAUGUUCUACCUCAGUUUGUCUCUAAGUUUAUGGGCCUCACUGCCGUCUUCGAGAUGUGGAGCCAUCUUCGACAACGCUAUCAGCCCUCUGGUGAUGCCCUAUACCUGGUUAUGGUCCGCCAGGACACUUCAGUAGGGUGA